rnacentral:rRNA from 1 species
AGAAUCUUGCGCAAUGGGCGAAAGCCUGACGCAGCAACGCCGCGUGGGGGACGAAGGCCCUAGGGUCGUAAACCCCUUUUGCGAAGGAAGAAGUUCUGACGGUACUUCGCGAAUAAGACACGGCCAACUAAGUGCCCGCAGCCGCGGUAAUACGUAGGUGUCAAACGUUGUCCGGAUUUAUUGGGCGUAAAGCGCCCGCAGGCGGCUUUGUAAGUUCUAAGUGAAAUCUCCCGGCUCAACUGGGAGGGGUCUUGGAAAACUGCAAGGCUUGAGGCAGGGAGAGGGAUGUGGAAUUCCAGGUGUAGCGGUGGAAUGCGUAGAUAUCUGGAGGAACACCAGUGGCGAAGGCGGCAUCCUGGCCCUGUCCUGACGCUGAGGGGCGAAAGCGUGGGGAGCAAA